rnacentral:tRNA from 1 species
AAUUAGGAAGUGAAUAUUUACAUUUAGUUUCGGCCUAAAAUUUGACUUAAAUAAGUCUCUAAUUU